GGUUAUAAAAGCAAUACAUCCAAAGUGAAACAAUAAGUGCGAGAACUUGAAUGAAUUGUGCCUAAGCCGCGCCUUUUGAAUUGACAAAGUCAAAUCAAUGAAAACUAUCAUCCUAUCGGAGUGUACUUAGCCUGACUCAAAGAAACUCUACACCUGGUCUAACUACUUCCCAUGUCUUCUUCACUAAUUCAGAACAGCAAAAGUUACCAGCUUCAAAUACCUCGUUGCAGCUCAACUCUGCAUCCUGAAAUAUUUAACCUGAACAUGAACAGCAAGCUAUCACCGCCACACUAAUUAUUUCGAGCCAGCAACAUCUCUCCCGCCCAUACAAGAGUCAAAUGUGCAGACCUAUAUGGAAAAACAAAUAAAAUGAGCCUGCCAACCUUUAGUUUAUGAAUCAUCAUUAGUAUCCAAUCGAGUUUCAAAUGAGGUAAAAUACUACAAAAUCGCUGAUGCAGAGUAACAAGAUUACGGGCUGGAAAAAAUGCACCAAUCCAUUGUGAAUAAAAACACCUACAGAAGACUAAGAAGGUAUAGGCUGCCCUUGUUCCAUCAAACCUGUUUGAAAGUUGUAUAUGUAGUCACAUAACUUAUUAUGCUUUACUAUUUCGACUCUAUUGUAAAACCUGCACUAUCUUGUGACUAAAAAAACAUAGAGAUUGAAGAUCCUAGUACUUCAAGUCUUCGCUUACACGUUGUUAUGGGAUUCUAGACUCUGUUUUUAAGCUUUAAAUACAUAGAGUAUGUAUUAACCUGCAAUUAUGAAGCAAAUUGUGACACUGACAGUAAGACGCAGAAGAUGAUGGCCACGCUUGCCCCUUCAAAACCCUGUUUGAAAAACAAAUUUACUUACAUGUUUCAUCAGGCUUUCCUUCUACUAGCAGCUUGUAAUGUCUGCACUUCAUUUGACUGAAAAACUUAGUAAAUGACUACAGAUUCCUGACAACAUGUCCCUGCGAUUGGUUCUACACGUUUCCUGAACAAAAUCCUUUUGAAAUGAAAUCCUAUUGAUGCAGACAAACACCUUUUGACCUAGAAUCUGUGACAAGACGGAGUAGUCGCCGCGACGGAAAUGAAGAUAAAUAGAUUACAGUAUUUCUAGAAGAGAAAUUAGCAACACAAAUACUAUUUAUGAUCCCAAUAUGCCAAAUGAAAGCCAUAACUCCGAGCGUCCUACACACUUGUCAAGAUGAUUCAACUUGAGUAAACUACGAAAGGUAAAACUGAAAUGAAACAAGCCCAUAAGAUCACAGAAGAUAGCAUGGCAUGGCGCGAGUUCGUGCAGACACCCUGCAUCCUAGAAGUGUCCUGAGACCAACAUCAUGUAUUAUGUUGUCAAACAAAAAGAAAGUCUGUAAUCUCUCCUGUUCUCUAGUCUAAUCAACCUGAGGUCUGCUGUCCGAUACCAUAACAAAUCAUCAAACUACAAGCUGCCUAAGAAGAUUUCACUAAUUAUGCUAUGCAUUUGACUCCAUGUGUAAUAUACAUGUGACAGAAAUGUGUUACUUGGUCAUUAAUAAAGGAAAUAUUCCACUUUAUUUCAA